rnacentral:rRNA from 1 species
AAAUAUGAUCAUACUAUCAGGAAUGCACCACAUCCCGUCCGAUCUGUGAAGUUAAGCCUGAUCACGCCGAGUUAGUAUUGAGGUAAGUGAUUACUCAAGAACCCUUGGUGUUGUAUUCU